rnacentral:rRNA from 1 species
ACACUCCUACGGGAGGCAGCAGUGGGGAAUAUUGGACAAUGGGCGCAAGCCUGAUCCAGCCAUGCCGCGUGAGUGAUGAAGGCCCUAGGGUUGUAAAGCUCUUUCACCGGUGAAGAUAAUGACGGUAACCGGAGAAGAAGCCCCGGCUAACUUCGUGCCAGCAGCCGCGGUAAUACGAAGGGGGCUAGCGUUGUUCGGAUUUACUGGGCGUAAAGCGCACGUAGGCGGACUAUUAAGUCAGGGGUGAAAUCCCGGGGCUCAACCCCGGAACUGCCUUUGAUACUGGUAGUCUUGAGUUCGAGAGAGGUGAGUGGAAUUCCGAGUGUAGGGGUGAAAUUCGUAGAUAUUCGGAGGAACACCAGUGGCGAAGGCGGCUCACUGGCUCGAUACUGACGCUGAGGUGCGAAAGCGUGGGGAGCAAACAGGAUGAGAAACCCUAGUAGUCCCAUG